rnacentral:tRNA from 1 species
GGCGGCAUAGCAAGCGGUAAGGCCGUGGAUUGCAAAUCUCUAUUCCCCAGUUCAAAUCUGGGUGCCGCCU